GCAGUCAGAGGCGAUGAAGGACGUGCUACCCUGCGAAAAGGGUUGGUGAGCUGGGAUGGAGCGCUAUAGCCAACCAUGUCCGAAUGGGGAAACCCACCUAAGAUAACUUAGGUAUCGUUAAGUGAAUACAUAGCUUAACGAGGCGAACCGGGAGAACUGAAACAUCUAAGUACCCCGAGGAAAAGAAAUCAACCGAGAUUCCGUUAGUAGCGGCGAGCGAACGCGGAGCAGCCCAGAGUCUGAAUCAGUGGAUGC
rnacentral:rRNA from 1 species